UACGAAGGGGGCUAGCGUUGUUCGGAUUUACUGGGCGUAAAGCGCACGUAGGCGGGUCGUUAAGUCAGGGGUGAAAUCCCGGAGCUCAACUCCGGAACUGCCUUUGAUACUGGCGACCUAGAGUCCGGAAGAGGUGAGUGGAACUCCUAGUGUAGAGGUGGAAUUCGUAGAUAUUAGGAAGAACACCAGUGGCGAAGGCGGCUCACUGGUCCGGUACUGACGCUGAAGUGCGAA
rnacentral:rRNA from 1 species